rnacentral:rRNA from 1 species
GACGUAGGGGGCGAGCGUUGUCCGGAUUCAUUGGGCGUAAAGCGCGCGCAGGCGGCUCGGAAAGUCGGAUGUGAAAAUCCGGGGCUCAACCCCGGACCUGCAUCCGAUACCCCCGAGCUAGAGGCAGGUAGGGGAGAGUGGAAUUCCCGGUGUAGCGGUGAAAUGCGCAGAUAUCGGGAGGAACACCAGUGGCGAAGGCGGCUCUCUGGGCCUGCCCUGACGCUCAGGCGCGAAAGCUAGGGGAGCGAACAGGAUUAGAUACCCUGGUAGUCCUAGCCGUAAACGAUGGGUGCUAGGUGUGGGGCCGGGAUCGACCGGCUCCGUGCCGUAGCCAACGCAUUAAGCACCCCGCCUGGGGAGUACGGCCGCAAGGCUAAA